rnacentral:rRNA from 1 species
AUUGAACGCUGGCGGAAUGCUUUACACAUGCAAGUCGAACGGUAGAGGGGGCAACCCCUCGAGAGUGGCGAACGGGUGAGUAAUAUAUCGGAACGUGCCCAGUCGUGGGGGAUAACGUAGCGAAAGUUACGCUAAUACCGCAUACGAUCUACGGAUGAAAGCGGGGGAUCGCAAGACCUCGCGCGAUUGGAGCGGCCGAUAUCAGAUUAGGUAGUUGGUGGGGUAAAGGCUCACCAAGCCAACGAUCUGUAGCUGGUCUGAGAGGACGACCAGCCACACUGGAACUGAGACACGGUCCAGACUCCUACGGGAGGCAGCAGUGGGGAAUUUUGGACAAUGGGCGCAAGCCUGAUCCAGCAAUGCCGCGUGCAGGAAGAAGGCCUCGGGUUGUAAACUGCUUUGUACGGAACGAAACGGUCCUGGUUAAUACCCGGGCUAAGUUGACGGUACUGUAAGAAUAAGCA